GAUGGAUAAUUUGGUUGCUUCCUUCAAUGGCAAAGCAGAAGUGCAACUUGGUGUUUUAGAUUUGUUUUCUUAAUUUUUAAGUAAAAAGGAGUUUUAGUUUAAGGUUUCAAUGCAAUGCCACUGAUAUGAUUCCUCGCAGCAGUUAUUAUAUAUUUUUUAAAAUUAUAGAUGAUCGGUAAUACAAAAGUACAUAUAUUAGAGUAUAUUCUAUAGAAUUUUGUUCGGUACCCU
rnacentral:lncRNA from 1 species